CAGGUAGUGACUUUCCUCCAGGAGAAAAUCUUGAGGAUGUGAGAGCCCAAAAAGACAAGUUGGGAAACCUGUGAUCCUUCCCUGCCUUUAGAUAGAAACUGGGCGUGCAUGGGAAGAGACUGGCAGUGGGUAUUCUGAUGUUCGUACUGACAAAGUUCCCUGUUUGCUACGGAGCUGGCCAAAGUAAGGAAGGAUUUUGGUGACACCCUUAGGAAAUCAGUAUGUGUGGAAAGUGCCAUUAACAGAGGGAGGUAAGAUCUUGCUGACUGAAAAGGAAUCAGAGGGUUAUUGGGGACCUGGAAUAUUUUUCACCAUGGGCAACCACUGCCAGUGGUCCCUUACUCCAAGAGCUGCUUAUUGGGAUGAUUACUCCCCAGGACAACUGCUGUUGAUUGAUUUGCCCCACUGUGGUCCUGUCCCUUUAACCCUCAGGGAGACUCUUCACAAAUAGUUGUGGAAGCCUCAAGAUGAUCAGGAGGAACUGUACAAAAUUAACCAUCUGGAUUUCACCUCCCUUCUAACUUUGGUUCAUUUAGGACCAGGAAGUCUUAUUUUUGUUUUGUUUUCUUUUCCAGUUUUGCUUCUUAUAACCUUGGUUUCUUUGGAACCAGGAAGUUCUCUCUUGUUUUCCAGAUGCCAACGAAUGCUGAUACUGUUGCUGUAGUUCACAUGUUCCCUUCUCACUCUGCUCCUUUGUCUGGGAUCCCUGUGGUAUCAUUGGUGUUACUGCUUUGGACAGGAAUCUUCUUCAGAUUAAUUUUUGUAAUUGCUUAUGAUGACCUUAACACAGUCACUGGCUGGUCACGGUCCCAUGCCCAUAUUGGCAGUACUGGGCAUCUAGCUAGUUUUACUUAUGAUCCUGUCACUAACUCUCCUGCAGCUUUUGUCCUAAUACACAAUGCUUCAGUACAUACCAUACACCUAAUCAUUGUGCUGGGACUGAAUCACAAUGGAGUUUUUUUGUUUAUUUUUUUCCCUGCAGAGGAGAAAGAAUCACAAAUGCUUGUGGAGAAAAAAGACUCAGGGAUUUCUUCUUCUUUCUUGCUAGCAGAUCUUGAUGCUCUCCUCUUCCUGCCAGUGGGCUGCGUGUCAUGCCAUAGUCCUGCAGUCUCCAGAAGUGACCCCACAUGCUACCAAAACAGAUCACAGACCUGGAUUCAGGCAUUCUUCAUUCUCCCACUGCACGAGCUGUCAUGGAGCAACGUGCUCCUCAAACGUAGUCAUUUUGUGAGGUUACACAGUGUUUGUGUACUUAUGUAGGAAUGGAAUGUUGUUUCUGCAUUAGAACUAAAACGUGAGUAUUUUACGUCAUUGUCUCUGCUCCAGUCUUGUGUUGUUUGUUUACUACUACUAAUUACUACUUAGUACUACUAAGUACUAACAGCUCUUUUUGGGAGUGUUUUUAUUUCAUCAGGAGUCUCUGAGGGUCUCCUUCACUUGCCUGUUUGAUGAAUUUUCCACAUUGGUGCUUGCUCAGUGGGUAGAUGGAGUAAUGAAUGUAUGGGUACAAGGACUGCUGCUGUUAUCUGUCCAGCCAUCUGGAAUACCUCUGAGCCUUGAGUUCCAGACAACAUAGACAUUGCGCUCCUAAACAUUACGAUAAUGCCUUUAGAAAUCCAAAACCCUUGACAAUGAUAUCAGUAGGCUCAUUAUGUUGCAAGACUACUGAUUUUUGAUGCUGGUCAGACAGGACCUCAGUGAUGAUAGAAAAUUUAAGGAGGAGAAUGUAAGCCAUUAGCAAUAGAUAAACAUUUAGCUAGCAACAGUUUCUAUUUAGCCAGUAUGCCCAUGUACAGUUAAGCAUCGGGAAGGUCUGUGAACCUGAAAUACUCAGGCAAUGAGGAAUCAGGGGAAAAGGUGAGCAUCAAGGUAAUAGGGCAUGUUCUUUGCUCUGUAAUAGGGUUUUGUUUGCUUUUCAUUCAGUAUCAUUUCUUACCAUUACGCAGCGUUUGUCUUGUCUUGUUUUUCAUGUUGCCAAUCAACAUUUAGUUGGAGCUUGGGUGACCCAAAUGCAUACAACUAAGUGUUGACCAAGUGUGAUGUGAAAUGAAGAGGUAGGCUCCAAAACAGGCUUCUAGUGAGUGCUGUGUACGACAUGGAGUAUCGAGAACUACCUCUGUUUCUCCCUGCCCCAUGUUGUUCAGUACCAGACGUGAAGGUUUCUUCUUUCCUUCUAGGGUUGGAGACUCCACUAUCAGAUGGCAUUGGCCUUUCAAGCCUCCCCGGGUUGUAGCGCUGGUUGUGCCCUGAUCCUUGGAAAGGGGAACUGAUUCCUUCAUCAUUACCUGAUGGUGACGUCUACUUAUCUUGUGUCCAGUGAGUGGUGGGGGAAAAACUGCGGCUCUCCCGAGUGGUGCAAGGACUCUACUGAGGCUCAUUGUGUUUAUAGUAGAAAACUACAGCCAUAGAUGGAUGCCAAUAUCCACUCCUUACUCUGUCUGGCAAGCUGUGUUGAUCUCUGAAGUUGCUCCCACACUUGUAGAAGUUCUUCGGGCUCAGCAUCAGUUGUCUCUUGCACUCACAUGGCUUUCACCAGUUGGAGCUACAGUGAGCCCAAAUGGUGACUGCUCUGCUUUGACCAAGUGAGAUGCAAAAAGAAGAGGCCCAGAAGAUGGGAACAAAGGAGUUUCUGCUGAGAUCCCAGAGCCAGAAGCUGCCGCUCCAAGGAGAGCUGACUCAACCACACUGGAUUUGAGCUGUCACUCCAAAGACAGCUGACUCCGCUCCAAGGAGAGCUGACUCAACCACAUUGGAUUUGAGCUGUCACUCCAAAGACAGCUGACUCGACCACUUUGAAACUAUUGAAAAGGGGCCGUCAUCGCCAUGGUCAUGGCCGUCGUUCUCAUCAUUCUCCUUGUCGUCAACAGAACAAUGCCUGACGACCCACCACUACUGAAGAUCAGACUGAACUACAAACCACGCUAGAUCCAUGGUGGUGACUGUCUCCCUCUUGCUUCCUAUAAAGACUCCUUGCUUCUUCUUCUCUAUCUUUUCUAUCUUUCCUAUCGCCCUCCUUCCCUUCCCCAUUACCCUAAUUCGUAACAGCCUCCGUCCUCCCCUUCCCCAUUUCCC